AUUGAACGCUGGCGGCAGGCUUAACACAUGCAAGUCGAGCGGUAACAGAGAGAAGCUUGCUUCUCUGCUGACGAGCGGCGGACGGGUGAGUAAUGCCUAGGAAUCUGCCUAGUAGUGGGGGAUAACUUGCCGAACGGUAAGCUAAUACCGCAUACGUCCUACGGGAGAAAGGAGGGGACCUUCGGGCCUUUCGCUAUUAGAUGAGCCUAGGUCGGCUUAGUUAGUUGGUGAGGUUAUGGCUCGCCAAGACCGCGAUCCGUAACUGGUCGGAGAGGAUGAGCAGUCACACUGGAACGGAGACCCGGGCCAGACUCCUACGGGAAGCAGCAGUGGGGAAUAUUGGACAAUGGGGGGGAACCCUGAUCCAGCCAUGCCGCGUGUGUGAAGAAGGUCUUAGGAUUGUAAAGCACUUUAAGUGGGGAGGAAGAGCAGUUAACUAAUAUUUGACUGUUUUGACGGUACCGACAGAAUAAGCACCGGCUAACUUCGUG
rnacentral:rRNA from 1 species